rnacentral:sRNA from 1 species
AACAAGUUCAUUAACCAAGUCUAAGUGCCACCGCAACAGAGACCCUCAAGUUAACCUAGUCCCAGACUCAAUUACCAUUGACGAGAGCUAACCUAACAGGCAUUACGAAUCAACAAGUUAAAGCCAAAACGCUCCCUGCAACCAAUACCUUGGUACAUGGCCACGAAUCUGUGGAAUUAGUGGUUCAGACAUUUCAUUGAACACCUUUUGGGCGCGAAAAUGUCUGGGCUCAAAUUCCAGUUGAUCAGAAAGCAAUAGGCAUUAAGAACAACUAAUCCAGAAGGCAUCUAUCAAUCAAUACUCAACCACCUAGCAUACUGAGAAUUCUACACUACUCUAACCCAUCCUCAGAAACCUAUUCACUACUCAGACAUCAUUGCAGGAAACAUAAAUGUUGAACAGGAUGAAAACAUGAUAACAACAGUGUAACAACAAGAUGAUAACAGGAUGAACAAUAGUAAACGAAAUCAAGAACAAAUGCUGAAUACUGAAUAGAUAAAGAGAAAUCCGGAUUACAAAAGGUCAAGAACACAGUGUCUGCGGAAUAAAACUAGAUAAAAACUUG